UGGGGAAUUUUCCGCAAUGGGCGAAAGCCUGACGGAGCAACGCCGCGUGCGGGAGGAAGGUUUUAGGACUGUAAACCGCUUUUCUCAGGGAAGAAGAUCUGACGGUACCUGAGGAAUCAGCAUCGGCUAAUUCCGUGCCAGCAGCCGCGGUAAUACGGGAGAUGCAAGCGUUAUCCGGAAUUAUUGGGCGUAAAGCGUCCGCAGGCGGGCUAUCAAGUCUGCUGUCAAAGCACACAGCUUAACUGUGGGGAGGCAGUGGAAACUGAAAGCCUAGAGUGCGGUAGGGGUAGGGGGAAUUCCCGGUGUAGCGGUGAAAUGCGUAGAUAUCGGGAAGAACACCAGCGGCGAAAGCGCCCUACUGGGCCGCAACUGACGCUCAUGGACGAAAGCUAGGGGAGCG
rnacentral:rRNA from 1 species